rfam:Chishuiella changwenlii strain DSM 27989 genome assembly, contig: Ga0131172_108
GGGGCUGACUGGUUUUGACAGCAGGGCCAAUGGGUAAGUAAGCAUGCAGUGAUAUGUUGUGUACUCACUUUAAUCAGGCACUUCAACCUUUUAACUGGCAACGAAGAGUACGCUUUAGCUGCAUAAUUCUGAAUUUUAGUAGGAAUUCGCUUACAUCUAUACAAGGUAUAGAAGCUGAAUGUCCCUCAAAAGCCUUGACUUACGGCGUUUGAUUAAGGGACACGGGAAAGUAAGAAUAGGAAUCUUGGCGUUUCGAAUAGAUUCCGAAAUUUAAGAAACUAAGCGUUUGACAGAGUGUUUAUUCUCAGGAUUUCGCCGACAAUUAAAAAUAAACUAAGCAUGUAGAAAGCUUAUUUGUUGCUUGUUUGGACGCGGGUUCGAAUCCCGCCAGCUCCACAG